rnacentral:rRNA from 1 species
ACGUGAUCUGAGUUCAGACCGGAGUAAUCCAGGUCGGUUUCUAUCUAUAACAGAGCUUAUUCCAGUACGAAAGGACCGAAAAAGCAUGGCCUAUACCCCCGGCAAGCCAUCGUUACUAAUUUAUGUUAACCACUCAAUCAAUUACUAACCUUCAACCUCCCUCAAGAUAAGAGA